GGCCGAGUCCUAGGCCCCUGUAAUUUGAAAUUUGUCAUGUAGGGUGAGUUGGAGUCUAGCGGGUGUUCCUAGAUUGACACAAGAUGUGUGGAGCUGUGAAGUUACCCUGCAGCACUUUGACUUUUGUCUCAGCUUUCUUUCAGAUGCGGACGGAUGAAAUCAGUGGCAGAGCGCCCCAUCCAGGGUAAGGGGGUUCCCGCGAGAAGGUAAGUCAAUGUUUGUCUUUGCAGGGCAACUGGAACCGGUCACUGUGUUACAGGUCUCCUCUUUGUCUUUAUUUUUAGGAAGUAGAGCCAGCUGGCAGCAGUCAAGGCGAAGCGGGCAAGGCGGUCCAGUCGCGUUUCGCCGAGACGUCCUUGCCAAUCGGCCGGCACAGCUGCUUCACCGCUCCCGUGAGCCCUGCGGAAACAUUACGGGACCGUGUGACGGAGCCUUUUCCACGUAAAGGGGCCGUGUGGGUGGCCUUCAGGAACGGGCCGAGGGGUUGCCGCGCGCCCUGUGACGACGGCGUCCAGCUCCCGGCGUGGCCGAAGCGCGCGGCUUCAGGAUGUGGCCGUUCGCAGGAGACCCUGACCGAGAGACGGCAGCCUGGCGAUUGCAGGAACUUCCCAGAUGGCGAGGCGCCCUUCCUUGGCGCUCCAUGUGGAUCCUCCCCGCUGGGCAUCCGAGAGCUGAGUCGGAGGCUGCGAAUUGCAGAGGGGCUGAAAUCGGGGUGCCGGGUCGGGACACUGGACCUGGGUUUAUGGAGUCAGCUUUGGGAACGGGGAGGUCCAGGCUGUGGCCCCUUAGGCCACGUGAAGGGAGAGCCUCACUUUUGUUCACAGUGCUGAGGUGUGCAGGACAGAGCAGUCCCGGGGCGUGUCGUAUCACUUGUCCGUCGUGCCUUCUGUGUCUUUUGUGCCUCUCGUGUUGUACGUGCCUCGCCUUAUCUCUUCUGGGGGCUUACCAGAAACCCCGGCAUCACUCCUCGCAUCUCUGAUCUCUGGGCUCCUCAGCCCGACACCAUCGAAGCUUUGCCUCAGGAUAUCUCAGAGGCCUUGGAAUCGCGUCUCUCUUUUAAAAGCAUCCGAUCGGAUGUCUUUUAGAGGUCUUCUUCCGUGCUGUGUCAACAGCCGUGCGCCGCGAGGAUCCAUUGUUGCGGCUUAGGUCUUGAAGAAACGCAGAGAUAGGUAGGGGGCUGUGGCCCUCAGAUUCUCGGGCAUCCGUCUUGGCAGUUGCUGGAGUUUGUCAUUCCAUUAGCAUCUUCUUCCUCCCGGGUUCUGCGAGCUUCAUCAGCUCGCCUUCAUUCUCACCCGGCUCAUCUCGUUCCGCGUUCUCUCGGUCCUUGGGGCCAUUCUUGUGGCCCAGAGUUUUGUCUCCCUGUUGUGUCCCCUCGUCUGUUGUCUUGUGUGUCACGGGUGUCUGGGUGUAGUUGUCCCGGAGCUGCUCUGUCCUGCUGCCCAGCCUGGAUGUAGGUGUAAAA